AUGGAGGCGACCCUGGUAGAAAUGGUACACACCCUUGCCGCCAUCCUUAUUCUCUGGCUGAUCUCGAGGUCCCUGUGGCAUCUGGUAUGGAGGCCGUACGCCGUCGCCGGCUGGUUUGAACGGCAGGGGAUACGAGGGCCACCUUACAGAUUCGUCCUUGGGUCCUUGUGGGAGAUGAAACAGAUGUUGGUUGCCGAGAGGACAAAGGCGCCUCUGGAUAUCGGCAGCCACGACUACACCUCCCGCGUCAAUCCUUUCUUUCACAAAUGGGCCGCCGAUUAUGGGAAAACAUUUCUGUAUUGGUUGGGACCAACACCGACAAUAUAUUCUACCGACUUGGAGCUAGUCAAGCAAGUACUGGAAGACAAGACAGAGUUGUUCCAAAAGGACUACCUGAAUCCAAUCUUGGAACGCAUCUUCGGCAAAGGACUUGUGACCACAAACGGCGAUGACUGGAAACGGCAUCGCAGAGUCGUAUACCCGAUCUUCAACCACGAGAGCCUCAAGUCUGUGUCAGCUAUGACAAGGGAAGGCACGCAAAAGAUGAUUGCGCAAUGGUGCAACCAAAUAGAAAAGGGUGACGGCCACCAAGCCGAGAUAGACAUGAGGUGCUACGCUGAAGAGUUGACUUUAGGAGUCAUUGAACAGGUGAUCUUCGGCCAAAACAGCAAAGAAUCCCGGGAGGUGUUUGUCGCAGGCAAGGAGGGCCAGAAGCUCGCGGUAUAUGCGUUUGCGGAUCCUCAAAUACCCGGAUUUAGAUACCUGCCCACACCCCGUAACAUUAGGGCAUGGAAACUUGACAAGUCGGCGACGAGCAAUAUAACACAGCUCAUAAAGGAGCGGCUUGCCAGUGGUGUCGGCGGAGACGACCUACUCGGGUUGAUGCUGCAGGCGUACAAGUUAAAAGAAGUUGAAUCAUUGAGCUACGAUGAGAUGAUCGGUGAGUGCAAGACCAUCUUCGCCGCUGGGCAGGACUCAGGUGCAACCCUCCUCACCUGGGCGAUGUUCUUGCUCAGCAUCUACCCAGAAUGGCAAGAGAAGCUCAGGAAAGAAGUGCUGAGAGAAUGCAGGGAUGAUGAUGGCGACGCCCCCAAUAGCAAUAGCAUCCAAGUCCUUGGCAAACUGAAGCUACUUAGCAUGUUCCUUCUUGAGACACUGAGGCUCUACAGUCCUGUGCCGUUCUUGCUGAGGAAGACCGCGUCUGACACAACAUUAGCAAACAUCAAAUUUCGAAAAGGAACCAUGAUAACAAUUCCGAUCAUGAUGUUGCACCGGAGCAAGGAGAUUUGGGGCCUCGAUGCCGACGAGUUCAACCCCAUGAGGUUUGAGAAAGGCGUCUUGGGGGCUACCAACAACACAUAUGCAAUGUUGGCCUUCUCAUGCGGGCCACGUGCGUGCCCUGGGAGGAACUAUUCCAUGAUCGAGGUGCAGACCGUGAUGACGUUGAUCCUGAGAAGAUUCUCCUUCUCCCUCUCUUCCCAGUAUGUUCACAUGCCCAGGAACCUCAUCACACUGGCACCUAGGUAUGGGCUUCCCCUAAUCGUGAGGAAUUUGCUGGAUGGACAAAAAAGUGACAUUUAA
rnacentral:rRNA from 1 species